rnacentral:rRNA from 1 species
UACGUAGGUGGCAAGCGUUGUCCGGAUUUACUGGGCGUAAAGGAUGCGUAGGCGGACAUUUAAGUCAGAUGUGAAAUACCCGAGCUCAACUUGGGUGCUGCAUUUGAAACUGGGUGUCUAGAGUGCAGGAGAGGAAAGCGGAAUUCCUAGUGUAGCGGUGAAAUGCGUAGAGAUUAGGAAGAACACCAGUGGCGAAGGCGGCUUUCUGGACUGUAACUGACGCUGAGGCAUGAAAGCGUGGGGAGCGAACAGG